UACGUAGGGUCCAAGCGUUAAUCGGAAUUACUGGGCGUAAAGCGUGCGCAGGCGGCUUUAUAAGCCAGAUGUGAAAUCCCCGGGCUUAACCUGGGAAUGGCAUUUGGGACUGUAAGGCUAGAGUACGGCAGAGGGGACUAGAAUUCCUGGUGUAGCAGUGAAAUGCGUAGAUAUCAGGAGGAAUACCGAUGGCGAAGGCAGGUCCCUGGGUCGAUACUGACGCUCAUGCACGAAAGCGUGGGGAGCAAACAGGAUUAGAUACCCUGGUAGUCCACGCCCUAAACGAUGUCAACUGGUUGUUGGGGAAUUGAUUUCCUUAGUAACGAAGCUAACGCGUGAAGUUGACCGCCUGGGGAGUACGGUCGCAAGAUUA
rnacentral:rRNA from 1 species